CAUCGAGUAUGCACUCCCAACCCAUGUGACUUAUCUCUUUGUUGCCUCGGCGCAAGCUACCCGGGACCUCGCGCCCCGGGCGGCCCGCCGGCGGACAAACCAAAACUCUUGUUAUCUUAGUUGAUUAUCUGAGUGUCUUAUUUAAUAAGUCAAAACUUUCAACAACGGAUCUCUUGGUUCUGGCAUCGAUGAAGAACGCAGCGAAAUGCGAUAAGUAAUGUGAAUUGCAGAAUUCAGUGAAUCAUCGAAUCUUUGAACGCACAUUGCGCCCAUUAGUAUUCUAGUGGGCAUGCCUGUUCGAGCGUCAUUUCAACCCCUAAGCACAGCUUAUUGUUGGGAACCUACGGCUUCGUAGUUCCUCAAAGACAUUGGCGGAGUGGCAGUGGUCCUCUGAGCGUAGUAAUCUUUUAUCUCGCUUCUGUUAGGUGCUGCCCCCCCGGCCGUAAAACCCCCAAUUUUUUCUGGUUGACCUCGGAUCAGGUAGGAAUACCCGCUGAACUUAAGCAUAUCAAUAAGCGGAGGAA
rnacentral:rRNA from 1 species